rnacentral:rRNA from 1 species
UAAGGAAUAUUGGUCAAUGGACGCAAGUCUGAACCAGCCAUGCCGCGUGAAGGAUGAAGGUCCUCUGGAUUGUAAACUUCUUUUAUCUGGGACGAAAACGGGAUUUUUAUCUCAAUUGACGGUACCAGAGGAAUAAGCACCGGCUAACUCCGUGCCAGCAGCCGCGGUAAUACGGAGGGUGCGAGCGUUAUCCGGCUUUACUGGGUUUAAAGGGUGCGUAGGUGGGCUUAUAAGUCAGUGGUGAAAUCUCCGAGCUUAACUUGGAAACUGCCGUUGAUACUAUAGCUCUUGAAUUAUCUGGAGGUAAGCGGAAUAUGUCAUGUAGCGGUGAAAUGCUUAGAUAUGACAUAGAACACCAAUUGCGAAGGCAGCUUACUACAUAUAAAUUGACGCUGAGGCACGAAAGCGUGGGGAUCAAACA